rnacentral:lncRNA from 1 species
UGGUGCGUAAACUUAUUACUAACAGAAAAAAAAUGAUAGCUAUUAUAUAUACUAAAUACUGUAUAUUAAAUAAUUAAUAAUAAUAAUGACAUCAAUGCUGUAAAAAUGUUGAUUGAUAUUGGAAAAAAAAUAAAAAGUUUUGUACAUCAGUCAAACUCAUCAAAAGCUUCAGCUUUGUGAACUUCUGGGUAAUCUUAAGCAUUGGUAGAUGUUGGUAAAUUCCUAUAAAAAUCAUGGCACACAGAAGGUAGAAAUAGCAACAAUGAUAUCAGGUCUUCAUAUUUUUGCAUAGAAAUCAAUGACAAGUUAUUAGAAACAGGAAGUAAAGCUUCAGGACAUCUAAUGUUUUUACUUCUCCAGUAUCUUCUUAAAUCAAGUUCUUAAAAGUCAUCAUCAAAAGAAGUUUUAAACAAUUUCCAGUAUCAUCUUGAAGAAUCUGAAAGUGAACACAUUUAGACAUUAACAUAGGUUGUUUAUAAGUAUCAAGUUUUCUUGAGACAAAAGGAGCUUCUCUGCCAAUAAACAAUGAUUUUAAUUGCUUAGUUGUCACAUUCCAUGUUGUGUACAGGGUAUUUAAUAAUUGUUUGGCAUAGAUGUUGCUGCCAGUCCCAAGGUGUCAGUAUUUGCAGGUUUCGUGUUUUUUUUUUCUUUUCUGUAUUACUAUGAACUGUGUCAGUGGCCUUUUAAGAAGUUUUGAUCUCUUCAUUGAAUCUGUGGUUAGGUUUUCAAAGUCCAAAAAAAGGCCAACAAUAGACAUUUCUUAUUUUAACCAUAACAAUUAUCUGUCCAUAAGAUAAUUUAUUGAAUCGUAAAAUCUGGUA